rnacentral:rRNA from 1 species
CGCGGCCUAUCAGCUUGUUGGUGAGGUAACGGCUCACCAAGGCAACGACGGGUAGCUGGUCUGAGAGGACGAUCAGCCACACUGGGACUGAGACACGGCCCAGACUCCUACGGGAGGCAGCAGCAGGGAAUAUUGCACAAUGGGCGCAAGCCUGAUGCAGCGACGCCGCGUGAGGGAUGAAGGCCCUCGGGUUGUAAACCUCUUUCAGGAGGGACGAAGCGAAAGUGACGGUACCUCCAGAAGAAGCCCCGGCCAACUACGUGCCAGCAGCCGCGGUAAUACGUAGGGGGCGAGCGUUGUCCGGAUUCAUUGGGCGUAAAGAGCUCGUAGGCGGCUCAGUAAGUCGGCCGUGAAAGCCCGGAGCUCAACUCCGGGACGCCGGUCGAUACUGCUGUGGCUAGGGUCCGGUAGAGGAGAGUGGAAUUCCCGGUGUAGCGGUGAAAUGCGCAGAUAUCGGGAGGAACACCAGUAGCGAAGGCGGCUCUCUGGGCCGGUACCGACGCUGAGGAGCGAAAGCUAGGGGAGCAAACAGGAUUAGAUACCCUGGUAGUCCUAGCCGUAAACGUUGGGCACUAGGUGUGGCGGAUUCAUUGACAUCUGCCGUGCCGGCGCUAACGCAUUAAGUGCCCCGCCUGGGGAGUACGG